rnacentral:rRNA from 1 species
GACGAACGCUGGCGGCGUGCUUAACACAUGCAAGUCGAACGGUGAUGCCCCAGCUUGCUGGGGUGGUCCAGUGGCGAACGGGUGAGUAACACGUGAGUAACCUGCCCCAGACUCUGGAAUAAGCGCUGGAAACGGCGUCUAAUACCGGAUACGAAACUGGCCCGCAUGGGCAUGGUUUGGAAAGUUUUUCGGUUUGGGAUGGGCUCGCGGCCUAUCAGCUUGUUGGUGGGGUAAUGGCUCACCAAGGCGACGACGGGUAGCCGGCCUGAGAGGGCGACCGGCCACACUGGGACUGAGACACGGCCCAGACUCCUACGGGAGGCAGCAGUGGGGAAUAUUGCACAAUGGGCGAAAGCCUGAUGCAGCGACGCCGCGUGAGGGAUGACGGCCUUCGGGUUGUAAACCUCUUUCAGCAGGGAAGAAGCGAAAGUGACGGUACCUGCAGAAGAAGCACCGGCUAACUACGUG